UUUCCAUAUUUUGCACGGAUAUAUCACGAUUUUGCACGGAUACAGUUUAGUAUUUUUUUUUUUUGAAACACGGAUACAGUUUAGUAUAGACAUACUGUACAGUACAUAAUUACAUGGAGUAAUAAAAAACUGAUGAAUGUAAACCUAUCUGUCCUCAGUUUCCCGCUCUCUCUCCCGGUUUCCCAAUUCCCAUUGUAGCGCGCUGAACGCUCUCCAUUGAGGCGACUUCUGCAAUCUUUAUCCUCCAUUGAAGCAGCUUUUGAGGAAGGAAGUUUAGCAUUGCUGCAUGAUUAUCUUGGAAGGAUGGAUGCAAAAAUAGAUCAGACUGUGGAACUUGUAGACGUACAUAAUGUUUCUAAUAAUGACAUCUCAGGGGUAGACUUGGGUUCUGCUCCUAGACAAGUUGGAGAUAGAGAAUUUGAACAACCACCUUUAUCGCUCAAUUCAUUUGUUGAAGGUGUAGGUCAGCAGCUUGAAUAUGAACCUGGCUUUUUGGUGCCUGAGAACCUGGAAUUUAGACCAACUAAUGUUUUUCAUGUUGCUGACACAAACAUUGAGGAUUUUCAGAAAGUGCAAGAACAAGCUGCCUAUAAUGAAGUUGAAUUACCGGAGGAACAAGAAGUAAACAAGGAGUUAAUUUCUAAUUCGGCAAAGCCUUGGAGCAAGGUAGAAAAGAGUGCCAAAGGAUCAUAUCCAAAAUCUGGAAGUUUGAUGAUGGAUCACCAUGUUAGCUAUCAGCUACCACCUGAUCAUGAAGGUAAGUUUGCAGUGUAUGAUUUGGUUUGGGGCAAAGUGAAGAGCCAUCCUUGGUGGCCUGGGCAAAUAUUUUAUCCUUCUGAUUCCUCAGAAAAGGCUAUGAAAUAUUUUAAAAAGGAUUGUUAUUUGGUGGCAUAUUUUGGAGAUCGGACAUUUGCAUGGAAUGAAGCAUCAGUAUUAAGGCCAUUCAGAAACCAUUUCUCCCAGGCAGAAAGGCAAAACAAUUCAGAAGCAUUCCAAAAUGCUGUGAGCUGUGCUUUGGAAGAGGUUGCAAGAAGGGUGGAAUUGGGGCUGGCCUGUUCUUGUGUAUCUGAAGAGGCCUAUGGCAAGAUCAAAUAUCAAAUGGUUGAAAACUCUGGGAUAAAGGAAGAGUCGAGUAAGAGGGAAGGAGCUGAUAGAUCGACAGAUGCAGAUUCUUUUCAACCUGAUAAAUUUACUGAAUAUGUAAGAUCACUAGCACUUUUUCCAACAAGUGGCGUCGAACGGCUUGAGCUUGUAAUAGCAAAAUCUCAGCUAUUAGCUUUUAAUAGACUUAGAGGUUAUGUUGCUUUACCUGACUUCCAGUAUUAUGAGGGGUUGGUGGAACGUGAUGCUGGUACAUGUCCUGGAAAUCAGGGGAUGUCUAUUGAGAAUAAACAUGUAGAUUCAAAGACCAGAGUCAAUGCUAAGACAGGCCCUCGUAAACGGAAACACAAUUUGAAAGCUGUUGUGUACCAAAGGAGAAAAGAGAAAGGCGUGACUGAAUCAGUCGGUAAGCCGAUGUAUGACCUUGAUGAUGAAUUUGAUUCACCUGAGGAAGAUGAUAUCGUUUUGGCCUCCCCUACUGCUGGUGCUGGGAGAAACCCUGGAUCCUUUGAAGAUGAUUUCGCAGCUCCUCAGAACACAAAAACUGUUUCUGUGGCCAAGGUUUCACAUACAGCAUCUCCAAAUCCCCAGCAAUCCUUUAAAGUUGGUGAUUGUAUUCGCAGAGUUGCUAGCCAGCUGACUGGAUCAUCAAGAACCAUCAAAGGUUGCAGCGAGAGAAGCAAUGACAAGCAUUCAGAUGUUGCUGAUGAAAUUUUGGAACCUCCUAACGACACUCUGACUGAAAGCACUGCGAAGCAAAGCUCUUUGGUUGAAUUGCUCUCACAGCUUCACUUAUCUGCACGUGAUCCCAUGAAAGGAUACAGCUUCUUUAAUGACAUUAUCAGGUUUUUCUCUGAAUUUAGAAAAGUAGCUGUCACAACUCAGAGGAAAAGAUUGCGCAAAGGGUCUAGCAGAAAAAAGAAGACAUCUGCUCCAGUUGUUGGGUCCCCUGAGACUUUUGAAUUUGAUGACAGAAAUGACUCCUAUUGGACGGACAUGGUUGUCCAAGAUAGUGCUGAAGCUAAACCUGCUCGACGUAGUCACAAGAGAAAGGAUAAACAGGUUAUUUUUGGUGAUCAUGAGAAGCCCCUUCAACGGAAUCCUAGGAAGCAUUCCAGGAAACAGUUACAUCAUAGUAAUCAUGUAUCAACUCCUAUAGUAUCAACUGAGGAUGAGAAGCAGCUGGACCUGCCAGCAGAGCUCAGGUUGAACUUUGGUGAGAUGGGUUCUGUACCUUCAGAAGUGAAUUUGAACAAAAUGUUCAGGCGUUUUGGGCCUCUGAAGGAAUCUGAGACAGAAAUAGAUGUGCAAAGUAGUCGUGCUAGAGUGGUAUUUAAGAAGCGUUCAGAUGCUGAAGUUGCUUAUAGUAGUGCUGCAACGUAUAACAUUUUUGGGUCAACUCCAGUCAAUUACCAGCUUAACUAUACACCUUUUGCUUCCUUUAGAAGUACACCCCUUGCAUUGACUAAUGGAAUAGAGAAUACAACUUGAUGUCCUGUGAGCUCCAUUCCACCAGGUAUAGAUUCAGUAUGAGCUCUACCCCUCUGGCUUCCCCUCUAAAAAAAUGUUGAGUGUUCCUGGGAAGUCAGGUCCAUGCUAGUUGGUGCUUUGCAGACUGACAAUUUCAAACUGAUGAACAGAAGGAUUGCUGAUUAAGAAGGUAACCUGGCUUUCAUCUGGUUAACGGUAUUACUCUUCCUAUUGUCUCUGCUCUCUUGUAAUUUCAAUGAUGGGGUGGGUUUUCUUGUUUCCUUGCCUUCAAGUUCAAUGCUUAAGCACAUCAUGACAAUCCCAGUGAGGACAUCGUUGCAUCUAACAAAUUAUUUGAUUUUUCGACCAUUUGGGUGGUUGAAUGAAUGUAUAAAAGUCUAGAAGAUAGUUAGGAUCUAAUCAACUCAAUACAACACAUUUAGUAGCUAGCUACUGCAGUGUCAUUUCAUGAAAUCACUCGCUUGUUUGUCUUGCCCCCAAAAAAGCUUUUCUACAAAUCAACUCACUGUAGGUUAUGUAGCGAUUGUCUCAAGGGAAACUUCUUAUCUCCCAGAAGGCACUAUAAUAAUGUUGUUGGAACUACACUGUAUGAGUAUACAUUGCUGGCCUGAAUGUACAUCCCCAAUUCUUGUGGCGUCUUACUUUCCUAGUCCAAAUUGUGGAUCGUUGGAAGGAGAAUGAUGAACAAACUGCCAUCCUGGAGUACCUCAGUUUUCUAUCGAGGAUAUAUCCUUGGUAAGUACUACUUGAGACUGUUACAAUCUCAGUUAGUUCUCUACUUUUUGCAAUCCCUUGAAAUGAACUCAACGUCAACACCCCAGUGCCAUCUUUGAUCAUAUAUAUAUACCAUCUUGUUAUGUUGUGCA